GGGGGCAACCCUGAUCCAGCAAUGCCGCGUGUGUGAAGAAGGCCUUCGGGUUGUAAACCACUUUUGGCGGGGACGAUAAUGUCGAGUGCUAAUACCAUAAGCUCAUGACGGUACCUGCAGAAUAAGCACCGGCUAACUACGUGCCAGCAGCCGCGGUAAUACGUAGGGUGCAAGCGUUAAUCGGAAUUACUGGGCGUAAAGCGUGCGCAGGCGGUUGGAUAAGACUGAUGUUAAAUUCCCGGGCUCAACCUGGGAACUGCAUUAGUGACUGUUGGACUAGAGUGCGGCAGAGGGGAGUGGAAUUCCGCGUGUAGCAGUGAAAUGCGUAGAUAUGCGGAGGAACACCGAUGGCGAAGGCAACUCCCUGGGCCUGCACUGACGCUCAUGCACGAAAGCGUGGGGAGCAAACAGGAUUAGAUACCCUGGUAGUCCACGCCCUAAACGAUGUCAACUAGUUGUUGGACGGGUACGCCUUUACACCGCCUGGGAAGUACGGACGUUAGGCUCAAGGGCAAAAGAAU
rnacentral:rRNA from 1 species